rnacentral:rRNA from 1 species
GAUGAACGCUAGCGGCAGGCCUAAUACAUGCAAGUCGAACGGAUAUAUGUUUUUCGGAAUAUAUAUUAGUGGCGCACGGGUGAGUAACACGUACAUAACUUGCCCUCAAGCGGGGGAUAGCCUUGGGAAACUGGGAGUAAUACCCCAUAGAAUUAUUGGACGGCAUCGUUUGAUAAUUAAAACUACGGUGCUUGGGGAUAGAUGUGCGUCUGAUUAGCUAGUUGGUGAGGUAACUGCUCACCAAGGCGACGAUCAGUAGGGGGCGUGAGAGCGUGGCCCCCCACCACGGGUACUGAGACACGGACCCGACUCCUACGGGAGGCAGCAGUAAGGAAUAUUGGUCAAUGGAGGGAACUCUGAACCAGCCAUGCCGCGUGAAGGAUGACGGCCCU